rnacentral:rRNA from 1 species
GAAUUUUAUAUAGAUAAAUUAUUUUUUUUAGUUUGUGUAAUAAUUGAAGUAUAUUUAAUUGGGAGGAUUGUUAAAUUAAAAAAACUUUAAUUAUGAAAAAUAUUAAUUAAUGAAUUUAAGAAUGGUUAUGAAAUUAAUAAAGAAUUAAUUACCUUAGGGAUAACAGCGUAAUAUUUUUGGAGAGUACAUAUUAAUAAAAAUGUUUGC